rnacentral:rRNA from 1 species
ACGAACGCUGGCGGCGUGCUUAACCCAUGCAAGUCGAACGCUGAAGCUCAGCUUUUGUUGGGUGGAUGAGUGGCGAACGGGUGAGUAACACGUGAGUAACCUGCCUCCUUCUUUGGGAUAACGCCCGGAAACGGGUGCUAAUACUGGAUAUUCACUGGUCUUCGCAUGGGGGUUGGUGGAAAGGGUUUUUCUGGUGGGGGAUGGGCUCGCGGCCUAUCAGCUUGUUGGUGGGGUGAUGGCCUACCAAGGCUUUGACGGGUAGCCGGCCUGAGAGGGUGACCGGUCACAUUGGGACUGAGAUACGGCCCAGACUCCUACGGGAGGCAGCAGUGGGGAAUAUUGCACAAUGGGCGCAAGCCUGAUGCAGCGACGCCGCGUGAGGGAUGGAGGCCUUCGGGUUGUGAACCUCUUUCGCUCAUGGUCAAGCCGCAACAAUGGUUGUGGUGAGGGUAGUGGGUAAAGAAGCGCCGGCUAACUACGUG